AGCGAACGCUGGCGGCAGGCCUAAUACAUGCAAGUCGAGCGCACCUUCGGGUGAGCGGCGGACGGGUGAGUAACGCGUGGGAAUGUGCCCUUUGGUACGGAACAACUGAGGGAAACUUCAGCUAAUACCGUAUACGUCCUCCGGGAGAAAGAUUUAUCGGAGUUGGAUGAGCCCGCGUUGGAUUAGCUAGUUGGUGGGGU
rnacentral:rRNA from 1 species